AACGAACGCUGGCGGCAUGCCUAACACACGCAAGUCGAACGAAGCCUUCGGGCUUAGUGGCGCACGGGUGCGUAACGCGUGGGAAUCUGCCCUUGGGUUCGGAAUAACAGUUAGAAAUGACUGCUAAUACCGGAUGAUGUCUUCGGACCAAAGAUUUAUCGCCCAAGGAGGAGCCCGCGUAGGAUUAGGUAGUUGGGGGGGUAAUGGCCCACCAAGCCGACGAUCCUUAGCUGGUCUGAGAGGAUGAUCAGCCACACUGGGACUGAGACACGGCCCAGACUCCUACGGGAGGCAGGAGUGGGGAAUAUUGGACAAUGGGCGAAAGCCUGAUCCAGCAAUGCCGCGUGAGUGAUGAAGGCCUUAGGGUUGUAAAGCUCUUUUACCAGGGAUGAUAAUGACAGUACCUGGAGAAUAAGCUCCGGCUAACUCCGUGCCAGCAGCCGCCGUAA
rnacentral:rRNA from 1 species